UAGGGAAUCUUGGACAAUGGGGGAAACCCUGAUCCAGCCAUGCCGCGUGUGUGAUGACGGCCUUAGGGUUGUAAAGCACUUUCGCUAGGGAAGAUAAUGACGGUACCUAGUAAAGAAACCCCGGCUAACUCCGUGCCAGCAGCCGCGGUAAUACGGAGGGGGUUAGCGUUGUUCGGAAUUACUGGGCGUAAAGCGCGCGUAGGCGGGCUGUUAAGUCAGAGGUGAAAUCCCGGGGCUCAACCCCGGAACUGCCUUUGAUACUGGCAGCCUAGAGUUCGAGAGAGGUGAGUGGAAUUCCGAGUGUAGAGGUGAAAUUCGUAGAUAUUCGGAGGAACACCAGUGGCGAAGGCGGCUCACUGGCUCGAUACUGACGCUGAGGUGCGAAAGCGUGGGGAGCAAACAGGAUUAGAUACCCCCGUAGUCC
rnacentral:rRNA from 1 species